rnacentral:rRNA from 1 species
AACGAACGCUGGCGGCAUGCCUAACACAUGCAAGUCGAACGAAGGCUUCGGCCUUAGUGGCGCACGGGUGCGUAACGCGUGGGAAUCUGCCCUUUGGUUCGGAAUAACAGCUGGAAACGGCUGCUAAUACCGGAUGAUGACGAAAGUCCAAAGAUUUAUCGCCAGAGGAUGAGCCCGCGUUGGAUUAGGUAGUUGGUGGGGUAAAGGCCUACCAAGCCGACGAUCCAUAGCUGGUCUGAGAGGAUGAUCAGCCACACUGGGACUGAGACACGGCCCAGACUCCUACGGGAGGCAGCAGUGGGGAAUAUUGGACAAUGGGCGCAAGCCUGAUCCAGCAAUGCCGCGUGAGUGAUGAAGGCCCUAGGGUUGUAAAGCUCUUUUACCCGGGAAGAUAACGACUGUACCGGGAGAAUAAGCCCCGGCUAACUCCGUG